rnacentral:rRNA from 1 species
UACGAAGGGUGCAAGCGUUACUCGGAAUUACUGGGCGUAAAGCGUGCGUAGGUGGUUUGUUAAGUCUGUUGUGAAAGCCCCGGGCUCAACCUGGGAAUGGCAAUGGAUACUGGCAAGCUAGAGUGCGGUAGAGGGUAGUGGAAUUCCCGGUGUAGCGGUGAAAUGCGUAGAGAUCGGGAGGAACACCAGUGGCGAAGGCGGGUCUCUGGGCAGUAACUGACGCUGAGGAGCGAAAGCGUGGGGAGCGAACAGG